rnacentral:rRNA from 1 species
UGACGAAGAUGAGGCUACCGAACGUUGGAAACAGCGGUUAGGAGCUUACACCCACCCGUGUUUACAUACUAUUGUUGCUUUGGCGGGCCGUGGCCUCCACUGCGGGCUCUGCUCGUGUGUGCCCGCCAGAGGACCAAACUCUGAAUGUUAGUGAUGUCUGAGUACUAUCUAAUAGUUAAAACUUUCAACAACGGAUCUCUUGGUUCUGGCAUCGAUGAAGAACGCAGCGAAAUGCGAUAAGUAAUGUGAAUUGCAGAAUUCAGUGAAUCAUCGAAUCUUUGAACGCACAUUGCGCCCUGUGGUAUUCCGCAGGGCAUGCCUGUUCGAGCGUCAUUUAACCACUCACGCCUAGCGUGGUAUUGGGGCACGCGGUCUCGCGGCCCUCAAAAUUAGUGGCGGCGCCGGUGGGCUCUAAGCGUAGUACAUACUCCCGCUAUAGAGUUCCCCCGGUGGCUCGCCAGAACCCCCAAUUUUUUACAGGUUGACCUCGGAUCAGGUAGGGAUCCGCCGCUGAACUUAAGC